ensembl:misc_RNA Metazoa_SRP Metazoan signal recognition particle RNA
GCUGGGCAGGUUGACAUGCACCUAUAGUCCCAGUUCUUUGGGAGGAUGAGGCAGGAGGAUUGCUUGAGUCUAGGAGCUCUGGGCUGUGUUGUGCUAUGCUGAUCAGGCAUCCACACUAAGUUCGGCAUUAAUACGGUGACCUCCUGGGAGCCGGGGAACAACCAGGUUCCUAAACAGGGAUGAACUGGCCCAGGCCGAAAACAGAGCAGGUUAAAACUCCUGUGCUGAUUAGUAAUGGGAUAGUGCCUGUAAAUAGCCACUGUAUUCCAGCCUGGGCAACAUCGCAAGAACCCAUCUCUA